UAACGAGGAAGGAUUUGACUGAUUGCAACCUCGAUAAAAAAUUGCUAAAGCAGUGU
rnacentral:ncRNA from 1 species